rnacentral:lncRNA from 1 species
GUUUUUAAAUGUACAUGUUCAUUAACCUAAUUUGAAAUUUAUGUAUGUUGUUUAACUUAAAAUUGAGUUAUGUUUCAUAUUAUAAACUAAAUGAAUAAUUUUUUAAGCAUGCUUAACCAUUUACUGGCAAUAUUGUUUUAAAAUUGUGAAAUAUAAGGGGUACUCAUGGGUUAAUUUAAGAUUAUUCUUUAGAUGUUAUAAAUGACUUCAAUUCUAACAGGAAAAUAUUUCCAAAAGCAUCACCAC